CUACCCGGGUUUCUAAUCCUGUUCGCUACCCAUGCUUUCGCUCCUCAGCGUCAGUUACAGCCCAGAGACCUGCCUUCGCCAUCGGUGUUCCUCCUGAUAUCUGCGCAUUUCACCGCUACACCAGGAAUUCCAGUCUCCCCUACUGCACUCUAGCCUGCCCGUACCCACCGCAGAUCCGGAGUUAAGCCCCGGACUUUCACGGCAGACGCGACAAACCGCCUACGAGCUCUUUACGCCCAAUAAUUCCGGAUAACGCUUGCGCCCUACGUAUUACCGCGGCUGCUGGCAC
rnacentral:rRNA from 1 species